UACGAAGGGGGCUAGCGUUGCUCGGAAUCACUGGGCGUAAAGGGUGCGUAGGCGGGUUUUUAAGUCGGUGGUGAAAUCCUGGAGCUCAACUCCAGAACUGCCUUCGAUACUGGGAGUCUCGAGUUCGGGAGAGGUGAGUGGAACUGCGAGUGUAGAGGUGAAAUUCGUAGAUAUUCGCAAGAACACCAGUGGCGAAGGCGGCUCACUGGCCCGAUACUGACGCUGAGGUGCGAAAGCGUGGGGAGCAAACAGG
rnacentral:rRNA from 1 species